AUACGGAGGGUGCAAGCGUUAUUCGGAAUCACUGGGCGUAAAGGACGCGUAGGCGGGUUGGCAAGUCAGAUGUGAAAUCCUACAGCUUAACUGUAGAACUGCAUUUGAAACUGCUAACCUAGAGUAUGGGAGGGGGAGAUGGAAUUAGUGGUGUAGGGGUAAAAUCCGUAGAUAUCACUAGGAAUACCGAAAGCGAAGGCGAUCUCCUGGAACAUAACUGACGCUAAGGCGUGAAAGCGUGGGGAGCAGACAGGAUUAGAUACCCUAGUAGUCC
rnacentral:rRNA from 1 species